AACGCAGCGAAGGGCGAUAACGUAAUGUGAAUUGCAGAUUUUCAGUGAAUCAUCGAAUCUUUGAACGCACCUUGCGCUCCUUGGUAUUCCGAGGAGCAUGCCUGUUUGAGUAGUCAUUAAAUUCUCAACUCCAAGGGUUUCACGACCUUUCGGAGAUUGGAACUUUGGAGGUGCGUGGCCGCAUAUUGGUCGGCUCCUCUCAAAUGCAUCAGCGGAAUUCAACCUUUGGGCUUCCGGAUGUCAGUGUGAUAAUCAUGUUGCGCUGUCGUUUGAUCCCUCAGAGUCCGCUUAUAAUGGUCUUCGGACAAAAUCAUCAUCAAAAUUUGACCUCAAAUCAGGUAGGACUACCCGCUGAACUUAA
rnacentral:rRNA from 1 species